AAUGAACGCUGGUGGCAUGCUUUAUACAUGCAAGUCGAGCGAAGGCUGGAUUUGUAGCAGAGAUGAUUGAUUUUCACUUUGUGGAGAUCAUGAGUUUCUGUUAUUGCCGGUCUUAGCGGCGAACGGGUGAGUAACGCGUGAAUAAUCUGCCCUUGAAAUCGGGAUACCAUUUCGAAAGGAAUGCUAAUACCGAAUAACGUUACGAAACACAGGUUUCAUAACCGAAGUUGAGUCUUUGGAUUCUUCGUUCAAGGAUGAGUUCGCGUCCUAUUAGCUAGUUGGUGAGGUAAAGGCUUACCAAGGCUAUGAUGGGUAGCCGGCCUGAGAGGGCGUACGGCCACAUUGGGACUGAGACACGGCCCAGACUCCUACGGGAGGCAGCAGUAGGGAAUCUUCCGCAAUGGGCGAAAGCCUGACGGAGCGAUGCCACGUGGAUGAUGGAGGCCCUCGGGUCGUAAAAUCCUGUCAGUGGGGACGAUGGUUAAUCUUCGGAUUGAUUGACGGUACCUGCAGAGGAAGCUCCGGCAAACUACGUGCCAGCAGCCGCGGUAAUACGUAGGGAGCAAGCGUUGUUCGGAUUUACUGGGCGUAAAGAGUGCGUAGGUGGCUAUAUAAGUCAAGGGUGAAAUCUCUACUUUCAAGGUAGAAACUGCCUUUGAUACUGUAUAGCUAGAGGACAAGAGGGGGAAACGGAAUUCUGGGAGUAGCGGUGAAAUGCGUAGAUAUCCAGGGGAACGCCAGUAGCGAAGGCGGUUUCCUGGCUUGUUUCUGACACUGAGGCACUAAAGCUAGGGGAGCGAUCGGGAUUAGAGACCCCGGUAGUCCUAGCCCUAAACGAUGGGUACUAAGUGUGGGGGGAGCAUUACCCUCUGUGCUGAAGCUAACGCGUUAAGUACCCCGCCUGGGGAGUACGGUCGCAAGGCUGAAACUCAAAAGAAUUGACGGGGGGCUGAACAAGCAGUGGAGCACGUGGUUUAAUUCGACGCAAAGCGAAGAACCUUACCAAGGCUUGACAUGACGGAAGUAGCAACCUGAAAGGGAAGCCACCUGUUGAGUCAGGAGCCGUCACAGGUGCUGCAUGGCUGUCGUCAGCUCGUGCCGUGAGGUGUUGGGUUAAGUCCCGCAACGAGCGCAACCCUCGUCGCUAGUUAUUUUCUCUAGCGAGACUGCCCUACAAAAUGGGGAGGAAGGUGGGGAUGACGUCAAGUCAGCAUGGCCCUUACGCCUUGGGCUACACACACGCUACAAUGGGUGGUACAAUAGGUUGCAAUGGAGCGAUCCGGAGCCAAUCCAAAAAACCAUCCUCAGUUCAGAUUGCAGGCUGAAACUCGCCUGCAUGAAGGUGGAGUUGCUAGUAACCGCAGGUCAGCAUACUGCGGUGAAUACGUUCUCGGGCCUUGUACACACCGCCCGUCACGUCAUGAAAGUCGGUAACACUUGAAGUCGAUGGGCUAACCCUUCGGGGAGGCAGUCGCCGAGGGUGGGGCUGAUAAUUGGGACG
rnacentral:rRNA from 1 species